AGAGUUUGAUCCUGGCUCAGGAUGAACGCUGGCGGCGUGCCUAAUACAUGCAAGUCGAGCGGUAACACUUCGGGUGACGAGCGGCGGACGGGUGAGUAAUGCAUGGGAACGUGCCCCCAAAGUGAGGAAUAAGCACCAGAAAUGGUGUCUAAUACCGCAUAUUAUCUUAGGAUCAAAGCUUCGGCGCUUUGGGAGCGGCCCAUGUCUGAUUAGCUAGUUGGUAGGGUAAAAGCCUACCAAGGCGACGAUCAGUAGCUGGUUUGAGAGGAUGAUCAGCCACACUGGAACUGAGACACGGUCCAGACUCCUACGUGAGGCAGCAGUAGGGAAUUUUCCACAAUGGGCGAAAGCCUGAUGGAGCAACGCCGCGUGCAGGAUGAAGGCCUUCGGGUCGUAAACUGCUUUUAUCUGUGACGAUUUUGACGGUAGCAGAUGAAUAAGGAUCGGCUAACUCCGUGCCAGCAGCCGCGGUCAUACGGAGGAUCCAAGCGUUAUCCGGAAUUACUGGGCGUAAAGAGUUGCGUAGGUGGCAGAGUAAGCGAAGCAUGAAAUCCUAUGGCUCAACCAUAUGACUAUGCUUUGAACUGCUCAGCUUGAAGGCGAGAGAGGUAACUGGAAUUUCUAGUGUAGGAGUGAAAUCCGUAGAUAUUAGAAGGAACACCGAUGGCGUAGGCAGGUUACUAGCUCGCUCUUGACACUAAGGCACGAAAGCGUGGGGAGCAAAUGGGAUUAGAUACCCCAGUAGUCCACGCCGUAAACUAUGCUUGCUAGCUGUUAUGAGUAUCGACCCUCGUAGUAGCGAAGCUAACGCGUUAAGCAAGCCGCCUGGGGAGUACGGUCGCAAGAUUAAAACUCAAAGGAAUUGACGG
rnacentral:rRNA from 1 species